UACGAAGGGGGCUAGCGUUGCUCGGAAUCACUGGGCGUAAAGCGCACGUAGGCGGGUCUUUAAGUCAGGGGUGAAAUCCUGGAGCUCAACUCCAGAACUGCCUUUGAUACUGAGGAUCUCGAGUCCGGGAGAGGUGAGUGGAACUCCGAGUGUAGAGGUGAAAUUCGUAGAUAUUCGGAAGAACACCAGUGGCGAAGGCGGCUCACUGGCCCGGUACUGACGCUGAGGUGCGAAAGCUAGGGUAGCAAACGGG
rnacentral:rRNA from 1 species